rnacentral:lncRNA from 1 species
UGAUGGUUUGGCAUCUAGCACCAAGUGUUUCUUUGGCACAGCUCCAUGUCUUAUAUCAUGCUCAGCACAAAAGAAAGUCUGAGUAUUUAUUGAGACCCCCCUCUCUCCACAGUUGGCUUCAUCACAGGCUCUUGGGUCAGUACUCUUGUCAUGACAGCAGGUUUUAUUCUGAUUCUUAUCAGAGAACAUGGAUACAGAUGCAUUUCUCUGGAUCCCAGUGCUCACUGCUACCAUGCAAGAAUUUCCUUUUACCAUUCCUGGAAGUAACUCCUCCAUGCUUCUCAAAGAAGGAAUUUAGUCGCCACAAGGAGAUGAGACUGGAACAUAUAUGGAGAUACCAUCCCUGA